AUGAGGGGUCAGAACCUGGUAGGCAGUGGUAGUCACUCCCCAGGUCCAGUCUGGCUGGUGGGAUGGGGUGUAGGGAUGAUACUCUUCUGCUCAGGGCUGACCCUGGGCCCUGCAGGGAUGGGUCACUGUGUCCCAGGUGCAGGGCUGUGCACACCCAGGUCUGUGUGUGAUCUGGGAGCAGCAGGGGGAGUGGGCAGGAGCACAGGGAGGAGGGCCGGGCGGGGCUGUGAGGUCUCUGGGCGGCUGCCCGUCCCCCUCUUUGCAGAGUACCACAGAGGAUGUUGGAAGGAGGCUCGCGGACACCAGGUCCCACCUCCCUACAGUGGUACAGUUGUGCCCCGCCAGCCAGCAGGGCCAGCAUGGACGCAGGGACGGAGUAUCAACAGAACCAUCUCCAGGGGCAGGUACCCAGGACUGCCUGGGAAGGCCCCUGACCUCGCCCAGGCCACAGUUCCUGUACCUCCUACAUUUCACAGAAAUAUACAAACUGACUUUGAAAUUUAUAUGGGAUUGCAAGGGACCCAAAUCAUCAAAAAAUCUUCAGAAAGAACGAUGUUGGAGAUCCAGUAAGAAGCCCAAAUACUUAUGGCUCAUUGAUUUUG
rnacentral:lncRNA from 1 species